rnacentral:tRNA from 1 species
AUUAAGGAAGCUUAUAAGCGUAACAUUGAAGAUGUUAAGUAGGGUAUUACCCACUUAAUA